AUACUCAUCACCCUCUCUCAAUAUAUAUAUACUUGUGUUCUGUUCUAUCAUUCACAUUGCAUUACUUUCUCACAUUGUCUUCUUACUUUUUCUUUCUGACUCUCACUCUCUGUUUCCUCCCUCUGAAAAAUGGCGAGCAGCACAGCCGGUGACAAAGCUAGGCGCAACAAUGACAGGCACAGUGGUCGUCCCAUCGGGGGAAAGCCAACCACACAGGAAGAGAAAAAAACAUUUCCUUGUGAAAACUGUGGUCAUGUCUGGUCAUGCAAGAAUGAAGCGAACGAGUGCCUGAAAAAGCACAAGGUGACCGAAGAGAGGCGCAAUGCUGAGGCGUCGACUAAGGCCGCUGAAGCAACUCAGGCUUCCCGCUGCUGCCCGACAUGUGAUGCUGUUUGGCUGAACGGAGAUGCCAUCAGAGAUUGCCGACUGAAACAUUUUCAAGGGUCACCCGUAAGUUUCCAUUUUUUAUCUGGUUUCUUUAUUUUUACUUCCAAUCCUAAUUUUUUCUUUCUUUCUGCAGCAUGGCUCUUAUUCUACAGAUGCAUAAGGAGCAUGGGACUCUAAGUAUUAGAAUAAAAAAAUGGUCUAAUUUUUAGUUUUGUGUCUUCUUGUCUUGAGUUUCUUUAGUGUGGAGUACUCUUUUCCUUCUUUGGGUUUUUCCCAUUGAAGGUUUUUAAUGAGGCUCAUUUUUUUUUUUUCUCUAUCAUGAGAGGAGUGUUCUCAUGAACCUUCCCUCUAUCAAUAAAAUAUUUACCUUAA
rnacentral:lncRNA from 1 species